CACGUAGGCAACCUGCCUGUAAGACCGGGAUAACUAUCGGAAACGGUAGCUAAGAGCGGAUAGCUGGUUUUCUCACAUGAGAGAAUCAUGAAACACGGGGUAACCUGUGGCUUACAGAUGGGCCUGCGGCGCAUUAGCUAGUUGGUGAGGUAACGGCUCACCAAGGCGACGAUGCGUAGCCGACCUGAGAGGGUGAUCGGCCACACUGGGACUGAGACACGGCCCAGACUCCUACGGGAGGCAGCAGUAGGGAAUCUUCCGCAAUGGACGCAAGUCUGACGGAGCAACGCCGCGUGAGUG
rnacentral:rRNA from 1 species